AUUGAACGCUGCCGGCAGGCCUAACACAUGCAAGUCGAGCGGAGCGGCUGACGGGUGAGUAAUGCCUAGCAAUCUGCCUGGUAGUGGGGGAUAACGUCCGGAACAGUGCGCUAAUACCGCAUACUCUCAGAUGAGCCUCGGUCGGAUUAGCUAGUUGUUGGGGCAAAGGGCUCCCAAGGCGACGAUCCGUAACUGGUCUGAUAGGAUGAUCAGUCACCCGGGAGCUGAGAGACGGUCCAGACUCCUACGGGAGGCAGCAGUGGGGAAUAUUGGACAAUGGGCGAAAGCCUGAUCCAGCCAUGCCGCGUGUGUGAAGAAGGUCUUCGGAUUGUAAAGCACUUUAAGUUGGGAGGCGUUAUCAACAGAAUCAGCACCGGCUAACUUCGUGCCAGCAGCCGCGGUAAUUC
rnacentral:rRNA from 1 species